rnacentral:lncRNA from 1 species
GGGAUUGCUAUACAAUUGAAGACAGAAGAAAAAAACUCCUGCCGACAAUCACAAAAAACAUCAAAAGUUUAUAGACUCUUUAAUUUGAUCAAGUAUAUAAAAUUUUUUAGCUUAUACGAGGAAAUCCUAACAAAUGUGGUCCAAUCUUGCUUCUGAAGGCAGUUGGACUCUUAGUUUUUUUUCAGUUUCUUAUCAUCAAACUAAGUGGGCAUAUGUUCCAACCUAGCUAGGUAGCAUGUUUUAAUGAUGUUAUCUCUGUACAAAUACUGUCAACUAAACACGGCGUUAUUUCCUUGUUGCUUAUUGGAGUCAUCAGAAUCCAAAUUAAUGACAAUUUAUGAUAGUACUACUUAGGUAGUACCUAAAAUUUACCCCAAACUAAUCUCCCCAAAAUAAAAAAGUUGAUAUUUUUCAGAUAAUUAGAAGCACAAAUUCGAUUUACACCCGUCCCUUGACAACUUUAUCAUGUUUCCACCAAAAGAACAGGAAGAGCAAAAGAUCUCCUACUAAUUUGUCUUUGACAAGUCCACCUUUGACUGCUCUUUUUAUUGUUGGAAAUUACACUGAAUAUAGAGCCGUGUUUUUUUUGAAGUGUGCUAAAGUAUGAAAGGUAGACAACUUCGUGUUGUUUGACCGCUACUUUGUUUUCUUUCCUUUUCUUAUCACAAAAUUAGUCUGUUUUCUUGCGCAAGAAAAUACAAAGCUAACUUUUUAACGUACCUUAGUACGGUAAUACCACGAAAUCAAACCCCUCCUCUUUCAAUGUUCAAAACUGACCUCUGACCGAGCAAGGGUCAGGUUUCGUUUUUUUAUGUUGUCCUUUUAGCUUUCUAGCUCUGGAGGUGAAAAAACAAGCUAGAGACUUUGAUCUAUCGUGUUACAAAUGAUAUCAGCCACAUCUAAGUCGUCAAAUUGACAAAAUAAUAAUGAUUGCUGUAGACCUGACCAUCAGGUCAAGCUUCACACCAACUUGAGCAUCCAACCAUACACCACCAGGCAGUGGAUUAGGAAUGGAUCAGAUAGGUUAUUAUUCCUGCCUAUAUUGUAUUUACCUGACGAUCGAGCAUGGUAGGUGGAAUCUUGGGGUAGGGCAAGGCAAAAUGAAUUAAAUGAAAUGAGUUGGAUAGGUC